rnacentral:rRNA from 1 species
CCUACGGGUGGCAGCAGUGGGGAAUAUUUCACAAUGGGCGAAAGCCUGAUGCAGCAACGCCGCGUGCGUGAAGAAGUCUUUCGUUUUGUAAACUUCUAUUAGAAGGGAAGAAAAUGAUGGUAACUGAUUAAGAAGCAUCGGCUAACUACGUGCCAGCAGCCGCGGUAAUACGUAGGAGGCGAGCGUUAUCCGGCGUGACUGGGUGUAAAGGGAGCUGUGACGGCAAUGCAAGUCAGAGGUGAAAGUCAGGGUCUCAACCUCCGGACUGCUCGUGAAACUGUUUGGCUGGAGAGCGGGAGAGGGAAACGGAAUUACUAGUGUAGCGGUGAAAUGCGUAGAUAUUAGGAGGAACACCAGUGGCGAAGGCGGGUUACUGGACAGGAACUGACGCUGAGGCGCGAAAGCGUGGGGAGCAAACAGGAUUAGAUACCCCUGUAGUC